rnacentral:misc_RNA from 1 species
AUUUGUUGGUUUCAAGACAACACAGUUGUCUUUUUAAAGUGUCCUCAAUUUCAUUUAUCCCAUCCACAUGUGAACAAAUAUUCUUUGGAUACAUAUUAAUGAGCAGGCCUGUACAAGUUGUAUUCACCUACCUUUAAUGGGAUGCAUAUGAUGAAGACUGCUGCAUCAGCCUGUGAAAGGUUGCAGCAGUCUGAUGGAAAUGUAUCCAGAAUUUAGGGGCAGGUACUGUACAAUGCAGCGUGAUUUUUUAAACUUUGUUUUUGUUUUCUUUUAUAUACAUUGUACAUAGUUUGAUUUCAACAAUAUUCUCGGUCAUCAAUUUUCGUGGAUUUAGUAAACCUCACAGUUUUGAGUAGAUGUAGAUUUGUUGAUUUUAAUUCUGAUAAAAUCAUCUGUUGUCAAAGAUCUUAUAUUGACGAGUUUUUUAUUUUACGGAUUGUCUCAACAACGAAAUCCAUGACAAUUGGUGUUCAGGGAACAUUGAUGAAAGAACAGUAUUUUGUUUUAUAAUUGUUGAUUGAUAUUCUUAGAUGGGGCAUCUUUGAAUACAUAUUUUUAAUAAUUUUAUGUAUGAAUGCUUUCAUUUCUGCACAUAUAAAAAAGAUGUUCAUUUGUUUAUUUUUUGUAAUACAUAUUUUUGUCAUGAUCUUGUUAUUAUUUAAAAAAUAAAUAUUUAAAUAAAUAGCGAGAAAAA